rnacentral:rRNA from 1 species
CCUACGGGAGGCAGCAGUGAGGAAUAUUGGUCAAUGGACGAGAGUCUGAACCAGCCAAGUAGCGUGAAGGAUGACUGCCCUAUGGGUUGUAAACUUCUUUUAUAUGGGAAUAAAACAGGGUAUGCAUACCCUCUUGUAUGUACCAUAUGAAUAAGGAUCGGCUAACUCCUUGCCAGCAGCCGCGGUAAUCCGGAGGAUCCGAGCGUUAUCCGGAUUUAUUGGGUUUAAAGGGAGCGUAGGUGGAUUGUUAAGUCAGGUGUGAAAGUUUGCGGCUCAACCGUAAAAUUGCAGUUGAAACUGGCAGUCUGGAGUACGGUAGAGGUGGGCGGAAUUCGUGGUGUAGCGGUGAAAUGCUUAGAUAUCACGAAGAACUCCGAUUGCGAAGGCAGCUCACUGGACUGCAACUGACACUGAUGCUCGAAAGUGUGGGUAUCAAACAGGAUUAGAUACCCCUGUAGUC